GUUAGACUGAAAGUGAGUAGAUCAAUUAAAUGGAUGCACACUGCUGGUAUACGCACCCAAAAACUUGCUAGUGACAUGUUGCUAUUCUGGAAGCGAAUAGAUAAGGAGAUGAGAGGUGGACAAGAGAAUUAUUGAACUUCCAGAGAUACGUGAAACCGGAGAAUAUAUCGCAGAGUUAAAGCUGCAUCCGGAAGUUACAGCGAGAGUAAAGUUGAAUGUCUUUGCUAACUAAAGCACAAGUAUGAAGUUCUAUAUGCUAAUAAUGCACAUUUGGAGCUACCAGCUUGCAUUGGUUCAAGGUAAAUAACCACUAGUACUGUAUGAAUCUUCAAACAUCAAGUUUUAUGUGAUUCUGUCCCAAAGUUCUAAUAGAGGAAGGAUUCUUAAUGUACUAGUUCAUUGGUUUAUGUACAUAUUUCCUCUUUAAAUGUGUAUUCAAGUUUUAGGACCUUUGUUUGGAAUGUACUAUUUUCAUGAAAGUUAUGUAAUUAUUA